rnacentral:rRNA from 1 species
AUUGAACGCUGGCGGUAGGCCUAACACAUGCAAGUCGAGCGGCUGAACGGAACUUGCUCCCUGUUUCGGGUGCCGAGGGGUGGGUAAUUCCGGGGUAUAUCCCUGUUUGUGGUUGAGAACGUCCUGACACGGGCGCUCAUACGGCAUUCGUCCUGAGGGAGUAAGGGGGAGAGCUUCGGACCUCACGCUCUCGGAUGAGUCUAUGUCGGAUUAGCUAGUUGGUGGGGUAAAGGCCUACCAAGGCGACGAUCCGUAACUGGUCUGAGAGGAUGAGCAGUCACACUGGAACUGAGACACGGUCCAGACUCCUACGGGAGGCAGCAGUGGGGAAUAUUGGACAAUGGGCGCAAGCCUGAUCCAGCCAUGCCGCGUGUGUGAAGAAGGUCUUCGGAUUGUAAAGCACUUUAGGUUGGGAAGAAGGGCAGUAAGUUAAUACCUUGCUGUUCUGACGUUACCAACAGAAUAAGCACCGGCUAACUUCGUG